CUGACAUCCCCGCUGACUCCUGCCCUGCUCCCUUCCCAGGAGAUUCCUCCAGAAGAUGCCCAGUCUCCUAGUCCUGUGCCAACCCGCCUUGACUCCAAUGAAAAGAUCCUGGCCCUUGUGGGAGAGCUGGAGGCUGUGCGGGAGUUCCAGGCAUCCCAUCAGCAGGAGCGAAGAAAGGACCUCCGCAGCUGCCAGGAAUGCCUCAGGUCCUUGAAGGCCAUGCGAGACAACCUGCAGGCCAUCCAGAGCCGUCUCUGGCAAGUGGAGGCCAAGCUGGGCAUUCGGGUUCCUCCCCAGGGGGAAGCGGAAGAGGAACUGGAAGGAGAAGGGUCCCUUGGUGCCCCACCACUCGGAUGAGAACUGGAUAAGAGAUUCCAUGGACAGAUCAUUUGUGAGGUGGCGUGAGUAGAGGAGAAUGGGACACUGUCUAUGGUACGUCAUGCACAACAGCUCUCUGUUGUAGUUCUCCUCGUGCCCUCGCCCUGAGUUGCAAAGACCUUAUGGGGGACUAUCUGAUUGGGCCCCAGCAGUGGAGGGGGUCAUCAUAAAUUUGUGUAUUGGCAUUCUAUAGGAAGAACACACCGCACUGCAAUAAAGCUAAUCUGGAAAUAAAGUGGAAACUGCUCAGCACUUCCAAUAUAGCAAACUCACAGC
rnacentral:lncRNA from 11 species